rnacentral:rRNA from 1 species
AGCCUGAUGCAGCGACGCCGCGUGAGGGAUGACGGCCUUCGGGUUGUAAACCUCUUUCAGCACAGACGAAGCGCAAGUGACGGUAUGUGCAGAAGAAGGACCGGCCAACUACGUGCCAGCAGCCGCGGUAAUACGUAGGGUCCGAGCGUUGUCCGGAAUUACUGGGCGUAAAGAGCUCGUAGGUGGUUUGUCGCGUUGUUCGUGAAAACUCACAGCUUAACUGUGGGCGUGCGGGCGAUACGGGCAGACUUGAGUACUGCAGGGGAGACUGGAAUUCCUGGUGUAGCGGUGGAAUGCGCAGAUAUCAGGAGGAACACCGGUGGCGAAGGCGGGUCUCUGGGCAGUAACUGACGCUGAGGAGCGAAAGCGUGGGGAGCGAACAGGAUUAGAUACCCUGGUAGUCCACGCCGUAAACGGUGGGUACUAGGUGUGGGUUUCCUUCCUUGGGAUCCGUGCCGUAGCUAACGCAUUAAGUACCCCGCCUGGGGAGUACGGCCGCAAGGCUAAAACUCAAAGAAAUUGACGGGGGCCCGCACAAGCGGCGGAGCAUGUGGAUUAAUUCGAUGCAACGCGAAGAACCUUACCUGGGUUUGACAU